UACGUAGGGGGCAAGCGUUAUCCGGAUUUACUGGGUGUAAAGGGAGCGUAGACGGCGGUGCAAGCCAGAUGUGAAAGCCCGGGGCUCAACCCCGGGACUGCAUUUGGAACUGUGCUGCUAGAGUGUCGGAGAGGCAGGCGGAAUUCCUAGUGUAGCGGUGAAAUGCGUAGAUAUUAGGAAGAACACCAGUGGCGAAGGCGGAUGACUGGACGACAACUGACGGUGAGGCGCGAAAGCGUGGGGAGCAAACAGG
rnacentral:rRNA from 1 species